GUAACGGCGAGUGAAGCGGCAACAGCUCAAAUUUGAAAUCUGGCCCCCAGGGUCCGAGUUGUAAUUUGUAGAGGAUGCUUUUGGCGAGGUGCCUUCCGAGUUCCCUGGAACGGGACGCCACAGAGGGUGAGAGCCCCGUCUGGUCGGCCACCGAGCCUCUGUAAAGCUCCUUCGACGAGUCGAGUAGUUUGGGAAUGCUGCUCAAAAUGGGAGGUAUAUGUCUUCUAAAGCUAAAUACUGGCCAGAGACCGAUAGCGCACAAGUAGAGUGAUCGAAAGAUGAAAAGCACUUUGAAAAGAGGGUUAAAAAGUACGUGAAAUUGUUGAAAGGGAAGCGCCUAUGACCAGACUUGGGCCCGGUGAAUCAUCCAGCGUUCUCGCUGGUGCACUUCGCCGGGCACAGGCCAGCAUCAGUUUGGCGCGGGGGAAAAAGGCUCUGGGAAUGUGGCUCCCCCGGGAGUGUUAUAGCCCACCGCGUAAUACCCUGCGCCGGACUGAGGUACGCGCAUUCGCAAGGAUGCUGGCGUAAUGGUCAUCAGCGACCCGUCUUGAAACACGGACCAAGGAGUCGUCUUCGUAUGCGAGUGUUCGGGUGUCAAACCCCUACGCGUAAUGAAAGUGAACGUAGGUGAGAGCUUCGGCGCAUCACCGACCGAUCCUGAUGUUCUCGGAUGGAUUUGAGUAAGAGCAUACGGGGCCGGACCCGAAAGAAGGUGAACUAUGCCUGUAUAGGGUGAAGCCAGAGGAAACUCUGGUGGAGGCUCGCAGCGGUUCUGACGUGCGAAUCGAUCGUC
rnacentral:rRNA from 1 species